rnacentral:rRNA from 1 species
UGGGGAAUAUUGCACAAUGGGCGCAAGCCUGAUGCAGCCAUGCCGCGUGUAUGAAGAAGGCCUUCGGGUUGUAAAGUACUUUUAGCGGGGAGGAAGGGAGUAAAGUUAAUACCUUUGCUCAUUGACGUUACCCGCAGAAGAAGCACCGGCUAACUCCGUGCCAGCAGCCGCGGUAAUACGGAGGGUGCAAGCGUUAAUCGGAAUUACUGGGCGUAAAGCGCACGCAGGCGGUUUGUUAAGUCAGAUGUGAAAUCCCCGGGCUCAACCUGGGAAAUGCAUCUGAUACUGGCAAGCUUGAGUCUCGUAGAGGGGGGUAGAAUUCCAGGUGUAGCGGUGAAAUGCGUAGAGAUCUGGAGGAAUACCGGUGGCGAAGGCGGCCCCCUGGACGAAGACUGACGCUCAGGUGCGAAAGCGUGGGGAGCAAACAGG